GAUCAAGAGUUCCGAUGCGAAGCCCUGGCUCGUCGGGCGGCAACCCUCUCCCGUGGCGGGGUGCCCCAGGUGACGAUCCGGCCCGCGCAUCGAGCGCAGGGCAAGCACGGCGU
rnacentral:ncRNA from 2 species